CCUACGGGGGGCAGCAGUGGGGAAUAUUGGACAAUGGGGGGAACCCUGAUCCAGCCAUGCCGCGUGUGUGAAGAAGGCCCUCGGGUUGUAAAGCACUUUCAGUGAGGAAGAACGCCUGGUGGUUAAUACCCAUCAGGAAAGACAUCACUCACAGAAGAAGCACCGGCUAACUCCGUGCCAGCAGCCGCGGUAAUACGGAGGGUGCGAGCGUUAAUCGGAAUUACUGGGCGUAAAGCGCGCGUAGGUGGCUUGAUAAGCCGGUUGUGAAAGUCCCGGGCUCAACCUGGGAACGGCAUCCGGAACUGUCAAGCUAGAGUGCAGGAGAGGAAGGUAGAAUUCCCGGUGUAGCGGUGAAAUGCGUAGAGAUCGGGAGGAAUACCAGUGGCGAAGGCGGCCUUCUGGACUGACACUGACACUGAGGUGCGAAAGCGUGGGUAGCAAACAGGAUUAGAUACCCUAGUAGUC
rnacentral:rRNA from 1 species